CUACGGGGGGCUCCAGUGGGGAAUCUUAGACAAUGGGGGAAACCCUGAUCUAGCCAUGCCGCGUGAGUGACGAAGGCCUUAGGGUCGUAAAGCUCUUUCGCUGGGGAAGAUAAUGACUGUACCCAGUAAAGAAACCCCGGCUAACUCCGUGCCAGCAGCCGCGGUAAUACGGAGGGGGUUAGCGUUGUUCGGAAUUACUGGGCGUAAAGCGCGCGUAGGCGGACUGGAAAGUUGGGGGUGAAAUCCCGGGGCUCAACCCCGGAGCGGCCUCCAAAACUAUCAGUCUAGAGUUCGAGAGAGGUGAGUGGAAUUCCGAGUGUAGAGGUGAAAUUCGUAGAUAUUCGGAGGAACACCAGUGGCGAAGGCGGCUCACUGGCUCGAUACUGACGCUGAGGUGCGAAAGCGUGGGGAGCAAACAGGAUUAGAUACCCGGGUAGUC
rnacentral:rRNA from 1 species